GGCAAGAUGUGGAAGUGGUGUGAGCCAUUAAGCUAACUUGUACUAAUUACCCGUGAGGCUUAACCAUACAACGCCAAACGCGUUU
rnacentral:rRNA from 7 species